rnacentral:lncRNA from 1 species
UUGACGUAUUUUUCUUUUAGUGCAUGCUUGACUUGACUGAUCAGAAGAGUAUAACUCCUUGCUCGACAAUCAGUCUCCCACAAAUUUUCUUCCUUGGAGAACUCGGCAUGAAUCCGGUAUAAUUUGAUAAGGAUGCGCUCCGUCUGGCUGAAGACGUUAAACUUAGCGCUUGUUGGGAGGCAACCCAAUUUUCGUAGGUUAUUUUUGCAUUGCAUUAACAGGAUCCCUCAUAUUACUGAUGGAAUUACGGUAAAAUGCUUCUAUCCUC